rnacentral:lncRNA from 1 species
AACAGUAGAUUUUCACAUAUCUGUUGAUUUGAACUACUUUUCUUUUCAGACCGCAUGAUAUAAGAAGAGGCGUGACUCUAGCAUCAGAGAAUCUGUGUUUAAAUUCUGCUUCUGAUAUCUUUGUGAUCUUGGAAUAUCCAAAAAGCUACUGGUUGCUAGAUGAACUUUUAAGAUUACGUAAG